GGAGGGACCCAGGCGUCCGAGUGGUCCCAGGCGUCCGGGGAGGGGCCCAGGCGUCCGAGUGGUCCCAGGCGUCCGGGGAGGGGCCCAGGUGCCCAGGAAGGGACCCAGGCGUCCGGGAGGGUCGCAGGUAUCCGAGGAGGGUCCCAGUCGUCCGGGAGGGGCCCGAUGUCCGGGAGGGGCCCAGGCGUCCGGGAGGGUGCGGGGGAGGGUCCCCGUGUCAGUAGUGUUUGGCGUUUCCAGUGUUGGGUGGGGGGAGGAGGAGGAGGAAGGUGAGGGUGAAGAGGAGCAUGAGGAAGGCUACGGUGAGGGCGGGGGUGAAGAGGAGGAGGAGGAGGAAGGCGAGGAGAAGAAGAGGGAGGAUGAGAGUGAGAGGGAGGAUGAUGACGGUGAGGACAAGGAUGAGGGAGAGGAUGAGAAGGGCGAGGAAGAGCGCGAGGAGGGCGAUGGUGACAACGAGGAGAGCGAGGAGGAGGAGGAGGGGCAGGAAGGAGAGGACGAUGCGGGUGAAGAUGAUGACAGCGAGGGCGAGGAGGGUGAAGACGAGGAGGGGGAGAAGGAGGAGGAGGGCAAGGAGAGUGAUGAAGAGGAGGGUGACAAGGAGGCGGAGGAGGCAGAGGAAGGUGAGGAGGAGGAGAGCAGCGAGCAAGGCGAGAAUGGCGAGGAGGAAGAGGAGGAGGAAGAGGAAGGCGAGGAGGAGGAGGAAGAGGAAGGCGAGGAGGAGGAGGAAGAGGAAGGCGAGGAGGGCAAGGAGGAGGAAGGCGAGGAGGGCAAGGAGGAGGGUAAGGAGGAGGAAGAGGAGGAGGACGAGGAGGAAGAGGAGUCUGAGUGCAGCAAUAGGCCCCAGUGCCUAUCAGCCUUUAGUGCACUCAGGGAUCUCAGUCUUCCUCGAGAGGGGGGAGGAGGAGGAAGAGGAGGAGGGGGAGGAGGAAGAGGAAGGCGGGGAGGAGGGGAGGGAGGAGGAAGAGGAGGAGGAAGAGGAGGAGGAAGAGGAGGAGGAAGAGGAGGAGGAAGAGGAGGAGGAAGAGGAGGAGGAAGAGGAGGAGGGCGAGGAGGAAGAGGAAGGCAGGGAGGAGGGCAGGGAGGAGGGCGAGGAGGAGGAAGAGGAGGAGGAAGAGGAGGAGGAAGAGGAGGAGGAAGAGGAGGAGGAAGAGGAGGAGGAAGAGGAGGAGGAAGAGGAGGAGGAAGAGGAGGAGGAAGAGGAGGAGGAAGAGGAGGAGGAAGAGGAGGAGGAAGAGGAGGAGGAAGAGGAGGAGGAAGAGGAGGAGGAAGAGGAGGAGGAAGAGGAGGAGGAAGAGGAGGAGGAAGAGGAGGAGGAAGANNNNNNNNNNNNNNNNNNNNNNNNNNNNNNNNN
rnacentral:lncRNA from 1 species